GCGGAGCUUCACUUUCAAAAGCACCGCUGGGAGCUCUGAGGUCUCACUCCUGCCUCAGCGCCUCCCCGACCGGCCCCUCUUCCGGACUUGCUGAGGACGGAUCAGAGACGGGGGGCGCUCUCCGCCCAAGCCGGGCAGGGUGGCCCCCGCCGCCUCCCACCGAAGGAAACUGCGUCAAAGAAACCUAUGCCGGGUUUUCCGAAACACACACAGGCUGCCUGAGAUUCCAUGAAGGGAAAGAUGCCAACACUUGGGAAACGGAGUCUUCCAUCUCCUGCCAAGAACCAUCCCACUUUGGAACAGGAAGACCUGCCAACUCCUAGGCGGGAAAUAGUCUGCAGAUAAGUCCAACAGAAUGGAGAGAUGAUUUGCAAAGUGAUGGAAAGAUCCUAUUUUCCUGUUUACAGGAAAGUUUCUUCAAGUCAGGGGCCUGGAGUUUAAAGACUUAGAUUUGUCCUCUGAAGCCUUUGUAAACUGGACAUCAAGCAGAGUUGUGGGACUAGGGGGAAUCAUCCCCAAACCCUCCUGCUGCAGCACCUUCCCCCAUCAAUCACCAAGUCCUGUCAGUUCUACCUAAAUAUAGGGUCCCUCGAAUACCCAUCUCCCUGCACCCCACCGCCUUCACACCAGUCUGGACCACUGUCAUCUCCUGCUGGAAUUACUAAAUGGCCUCCUAAACCAUCUCUUCCUGUUUUCCUCAUGCAGUCAGAGUAGCCUUCCUAAAGUGCAGAGCUGAACUAGUGUCUCCCCUGCUUCAUUAAACCCUCCCAGGGCUCCCUGUUGCUUUGAAAAGGACUGCUUCCUGCUUCCCCACCUUCUGUUAGCAAACAUCUACCUGUCCUCUAAGUGUCAGCUUAAAUGUCACUUCCUCCUGGAAAUCUUGCCUGAUCCCUUGUACCUGCCCUCUUGUCGGCUAUGCCACAGCAUCCACUGCACUUAUCACACUUUUCCAGGUCACUUGUCUAAUUGCUUGCCUUUGCUACAAGAACAAUGUUUUAUAAACAUGUUUGAUAGCAGCUCAUAAUAAGAAAUACAUUUUAUAUCAAGAACCAGGCUACCCAUACAUAUAAAAAUAUAUGUAACUGACACUACGUGGCUGAACCUUGAAAACAUUAUGCUAAGUGAAAUAAACCAGACACAAAAGGACAAGUAUUAUGUGAUACCAUGUACAUGAAAUAUCUAGAAUAAGCAAAUUCAUAGAGACAGAAAGUAGCUUAGAGGUUACCAGUGGCCAAGUAGAGGUGGAAAGAAGAGUAAUUGCUUAAUGGAUACAGAGUUUCUAUUUGGGGUAAUGAAAAAGUUCUUGUAAUGGAUGGUGAUGAUGGUUAAAAAAAUGUUGUAAAUAUAAUGCCACUGAGUUGUACACUUAAAAAUGGUGAAAAUGCCAAUUUUUUACGACAUAUAUAUAACCACAAUAAAAUUUAAAAUAUAUAUAUGUAACAAUAAAAGUUACAGCAAACUCUACUUUUAUAUGAUUCUAUUCUAGUUCAUUUUAAACAAAAUCUCAUCAUGCUCCAUUACAUUGACUUCACAACCCUUUAAUGGGUCAGGAUCCUAGUGUGAAAACAUGUUCUACUUUCCAUGAAGGGAAGGGCCUCUUCUGUCUUGUAGGAGCUCAACAGAUAUUUGUUGCUGGAAUAAUAAUAAUAAUAAUAACAUCUAACUCAUUUAAUCCUCAAAGCCCAUGAGGAGGAAACUAUUAUUAUCCCUAUUUACAUAUGAGGAACCUGAGGCACAAGGAGGUUAACUAACUUGCCCAAUGUUAAAAGGCUGGUGUGAUGAUCAGUUUCAUGUGUCAACCUGGCUACUUUAUGGUGUCCAUUUGUUUGGUCAAGCACUGAGUUGCUUGUUAACAUGAGGGUAUUUUGUAGAUGCAUUUGGCAUCUGUAAUCAGUUGAUUGCAUCUACAAACAACAAAGGAAACUGUCUGCAGCAUUGUGGGUAGUCUCCUCAUCCAAUCAACUGGAGGUCUUAAAAGCCUGAACUGAGGAUUUGGGAAGUCAAAAAGAAGAAUUUCUGCCUCUACUUCAGCCAGCCAGCUUCCCCUGGAGAAUUCAACUUCACCUUUAUCACUUUCCAGCUUGAGGCCAGCCCACAAAGUUAGGACUUGCCAGACUUCAGAAUCACGUUUCUUCGAGAUCCCAGCUUGCAGCCUGCCCUACAGAAUUCAGAUUUGCCAGCCCCCACAGUUGUGUGAGCCAAUUCCAUAAUAAAUGUUUUAAUUUUUAUAGGGGAUUGAGUUGUGUACCCCAGUUUGCACAUGUUCUUGGUCUUGGUCUGCAUUCUGCUGGGUGUAGACCCACUGUAAAUAUCUCUUCAAGAUGUUACUUCAGUUAAACUGUGGCCCAAUUGAAUCAGGUUGGCCCUUAAUCUGGAUUACCAGAGUCCUUUAUAAGCAGAGUGAAAGUCAGAUGGAAAGAGAAGCCACAAGGACAUAUAUCUCUGGUCAGUUCUGUUUCUCUGGAGAACACUGAUUAACACAGCUGGUAAAAUAGGUGAUUGAGCAAGGAUUUGAACUCAGGUAGUUGACUUCAGAAUCCUUGCUCAUAGUCACUCAGCUAAAAGGUCUAUAUCACUUGGUUCCAGUGCAUUUUGAUAAAUUCACUAAGCAAAACUGUCAGAAAAGGUCUCCUUGCAGCAACCUCAAGCCGGAUUUUAGUCCCCUGCCCUGCAGAGGCUCCUUGGGCAGUAUUUAUGUCUAUAUGGAGAGAAAGGCAGCUGGCAAGAACAGCUGUUCUUUGCUCACAUGUGCUCAGCCUCCUCAACCAUCAACAAGUUCAGCAAUAUACAGCAAGUUGGGAGAUUUAAUUUUGUAAAGGAAGGGUAGCCUAGAUACCUCAGAAAAGGAAAUUUCUCAUUGUUAUGAACUACAUGCCUAAGUCCUCCCCCCACCCCCGUAAAAUCCAUUAAGGUUGGAGUAUUCAUUUUUUUAUGUUAUAUUUUUAAUAAUUGUCUAGAAUAAUACUCAAAGGGUAGGGAUAAAAAAGACUAAAAUUAGUGGACCUCAGGAGUCAGUGCUAUUUAUGGGAUUUUAAUCUGAAAAGGCAACAUUGGAGAAAGGACAUGAUUUAAAUCCUAAGGAGUGUGAAUAGGUAGGAAAUGAUUUAUUUGCAAAAUUCCCAAUCUAAUUCUGAAGUGAUUAGCCCUAAUGCUGAACCUUCUCUAAGUUGUGGCAUUUAGAGUCAUAAAGAAAUGGCUGGCAAAGGGUUUCAUCUUUAUUACAUGAAUUACAUGCAAGUCACAUGCAGUACACAGAUGCUCUCCUAUUUCACAUCUGAAUGUAACUUCAUGGGGAUAUUUAGGUGCACUGUGGGGUGAAGUGUCCUGGAUAUAGAACAUCUGGGCUUCAUUUCCAGCCCCAUCUGUAACCAACUUUUGUAACAUCAGUUUCCUCAUGCAGGGGACUGGGCGGCAUGAGCAAGGUAUGUUCGUAAAUAGUAAGAAUUAAUUGAGUGAACUGAAAGGAUUUUUCUAGCCUGAAGAACCUAUGGAUUUCAUCCUAGGAACUAUGGAAAAUUGUAUAAAGGUGUCUCUGGCUCUUUUCAUCGCCUUCCUUGUUGGAAGAAACAAAGUGGAUUCCUCCAUUAAUUCAAAGACAAGGUCAAUGUGCUACCAUUAGCAACACCCAUUACCAAAAAUUUUCUGUCACCUCAAACAGAAAUUCUGUACCAAUUAAGUACAACAUUGUGGACAUAAUUAACAACCCUGAAUUAUAUAUUUGAAUGUGGUAAAAAGGGGGAGAUUUUAGGUUGUAUAUAAGUUACUUGAAUAAAAAUUUUAAAAAAAACAACAAAUAACCUUGGACUGAACAAACAGUAAACACUAAUGUAAAUUAAGGCUAUAGUUAAUAGUACAAUUAUAAUAAUAGCCUUUAAUCAGUUACAACAAUUGUACCACACUAAUGCAAGAUGUUAAUAAUUGGGGAAGUAUAUGGGAAUGGUGUAAUUUCUACAUAAUUUUUCUGUAGACCUACAAUUCUCUAAUUAAAAAAUAUAUAUAUAUAUAUUAUAUAUAUAUAUUAUAUAUUAUAUAUAUAUAUAUUAAAGAAAAAAAAACACAACCAAAUUGAUCUC